GGUCGGUCCCAGGGAGGGCGGCAUGGGAGGCCACGGGCAGUGGAUGGGACGGAAUGAACCUAUGAGAAAAAUGGCAUUCGUGGGCAUCUCACUGAGUUUAUGGAUUUAGAAAAACUAUGGAAAAAAAGAAGAGGACAAAAAUAGUGGACUGAUGAGACAGUAUUAUAAUGUGGUUGCUAUGCUAAGCAUAACACAUCAUAUACCGCAUUGACAUAAUACGUGCUACAAUACUGGCAAUAGCAUAGUAAGUAUUAGCAUUUCUCCUUCACAGAUGAAGACCCCAAGGCCACAGAAGGCAUGCACCAGAGCUGUAGCCACGCUGCCGACAGGCCUUUACCAGGCUGCCUCCCUCCUCAUCCAGCUGCUGUGUUGGUGACCAAUGGUGUCAGCUGCUCCCUUCCCUGAAUACCUGCCUACAGGAAUGACGUGGAAGUGGAAAUAGCUCCCACCUGUGCACAUGGCCUUCAGCUAGCUACGGAUUCAAAAGUGUGAACGCACAGCUCUCUUGUGUCAACUUGGGGCCACCGAAGCAGGGCGUCUGGCUGAGCUUCUUUCUGGUGGAACCAGGCUGAGGCUGAGCAGCUGCUGAGCAUAUUCUGGGCUUUGCUUCUCCCCUGCUCUGUGUGAUCAUGAAAGAAUGUAGAGUGAGAAAAAAAAAUUAUUUCGCAAAAAAAUGUAUCAGAAAGACUGAAGAGAUGGCUCAGCAGUUAAGAGCACUGGCUGCUCUUGCAGAGGACCCAGGUUUGGUUCCCAGUAAUCACAUAGCAACUAAUAACCGUCCAUAAAUCCAGCUCCAAGGAAUCUGACAAUCUCUUCUGAUCUCCAUAGGCGCUGCAUGG